rnacentral:rRNA from 1 species
UACAGAGGUCUCAACCGUGGUUCGGAUUCAUUGGGCGUAAAGGGUGCGUAGGCGGUCGCGCAAGUCGGAUGUGAAAUCUUAGGGCUCAACCCUGAAACUGCAUUCGAUACUGCGUGGCUCGAGUACUGGAGAGGAGACUGGAAUUUACGGUGUAGCAGUGAAAUGCGUAGAUAUCGUAAGGAAGACCAGUGGCGAAGGCGAGUCUCUGGACAGUUACUGACGCUGAGGCACGAAGGCCAGGGGAGCAAACGGG